UACAGAGGAUGCAAGCGUUAUCCGGAAUGAUUGGGCGUAAAGCGUCUGUAGGUGGCUUUUUAAGUCCGCCGUCAAAUCCCAGGGCUCAACUCUGGACAGGCGGUGGAAACUACCAAGCUGGAGUACGGUAGGGGCAGAGGGAAUUUCCGGUGGAGCGGUGAAAUGCGUAGAGAUCCGGAGGAACACCGAAGGCGAAGGCAGUGUCCUGGGGAGUACCGUGACGCUCAGGUGCGAAAGCUAGGGGAGCGAACGGG
rnacentral:rRNA from 1 species